rnacentral:rRNA from 1 species
GGGGAAUAUUGGGCAAUGGGGGAAACCCUGACCCAGCAACGCCGCGUGAAGGAAGAAGGCUUUCGGGUUGUAAACUUCUUUUAUGUGGGACGAAGAAGUGACGGUACCACAUGAAUAAGCCACGGCUAACUACGUGCCAGCAGCCGCGGUAAUACGUAGGUGGCGAGCGUUGUCCGGAUUUACUGGGUGUAAAGGGCGCGUAGGCGGGUAGGCAAGUCAGGUGUGAAAUCUAUGGGCUCAACCCAUAAACUGCACUUGAAACUGUUUAUCUUGAGUGAUGGAGAGGCAAGCGGAAUUCCUAGUGUAGCGGUGAAAUGCGUAGAUAUUAGGAGGAACACCAGUGGCGAAGGCGGCUUGCUGGACAUUAACUGACGCUGAGGCGCGAAAGCGUGGGGAGCAAAC